rnacentral:rRNA from 1 species
GAUGAACGCUGGCGGCGUGCCUAAUACAUGCAAGUCGAGCGAAUGGAUUAAGAGCUUGCUCUUAUGAAGUUAGCGGCGGACGGGUGAGUAACACGUGGGUAACCUGCCCAUAAGACUGGGAUAACUCCGGGAAACCGGGGCUAAUACCGGAUAACAUUUUGAACCGCAUGGUUCGAAAUUGAAAGGCGGCUUCGGCUGUCACUUAUGGAUGGGCCCGCGUCGCAUUAGCUAGUUGGUGAGGUAACGGCUCACCAAGGCAACGAUGCGUAGCCGACCGGAGAGGGUGAUCGGCCACACUGGGACUGAGACACGGCCCAGACUCCUACGGGAGGCAGCAGUAGGGAAUCUUCCGCAAUGGACGAAAGUCUGACGGAGCAACGCCGCGUGAGUGAUGAAGGCUUUCGGGUCGUAAAACUCUGUUGUUAGGGAAGAACAAGUGCUAGUUGAAUAAGCUGGCACCUUGACGGUACCUAACUAGAAAGCCACGGCUAACUACGUGCCAGCAGCCGCGGUAA